ACUCCUACGGGAGGCAGCAGUGGGGAAUUUUGGACAAUGGGCGAAAGCCUGAUCCAGCAAUGCCGCGUGUGCGAAGAAGGCCUUCGGGUUGUAAAGCACUUUUGUCAGGGAAGAAAUCUUUUAGGCUAAUACCCUGGAAGGAUGACGGUACCUGAAGAAUAAGCACCGGCUAACUACGUGCCAGCAGCCGCGGUAAUAC
rnacentral:rRNA from 1 species